rnacentral:rRNA from 1 species
CAGGGAUUGCCCUAGUAACGGCGAGUGAAGCGGCAACAGCUCAAAUUUGAAAGCUGGCUCCGGCCCGCGUUGUAAUUUGCAGAGGAUGCUUCUGGCAAGGUGCCUUCCGAGUUCCCUGGAACGGGACGCCAUAGAGGGUGAGAGCCCCGUAUGGAUGGACACCAAGCCUGUGUGAAGCUCCUUCAACGAGUCGAGUAGUUUGGGAAUGCUGCUCUAAAUGGGAGGUAAAUCUCUUCUAAAGCUAAAUACCGGCCAGAGACCGAUAGCGCACAAGUAGAGUGAUCGAAAGAUGAAAAGCACCUUGAAAAGGGGGUUAAACAGUACGUGAAAUUGUUGAAAGGGAAGCGCUUGUGACCAGACUUGCGCCGGGCGGCUCAUCAGGGGUUCUCCCCUGUGCACUCCGCCCGGCUCAGGCCAGCAUCGGUUCUCGUGGGAGGAUAAGAACGGUGGGAACGUGGCCCCCCUCCGGGGGGGUGUUAUAGCCCACCGUACGAUACUCUCGUGGGGACCGAGGUUCGCGCUCCGCAAGGAUGCUGGCGUAAUGGUCAUCAGCGACCCGUCUUGAAACACGGACCAAGGAGUCGUCCAUUAGAGCGAGCGUUUGGGUGUAAAACCCGCACGCGUAAUGAAAGUGAACGCAGGUGAGAGCUUCGGCGCAUCAUCGACCGAUCCUGAUGUCUUCGGAUGGAUUUGAGUAAGAGUUUUAACGGACGGACCCGAAAGACAGUGAACUAUGCUUGUAUAGGGUGAAGCCAGAGGAAACUCUGGUGGAGGCUCGCAGCGGUUCUGACGUGCAAAUCGAUCGUCAAAUAUGAGCAUGGGGGCGAAAGACUAAU